rnacentral:lncRNA from 1 species
UGGGAAGUUUAGGGCUCCCCAAAUCAUGCCACAUGACCAGUUCAGACAGGCACAUCCCGCCCCCAGGCACACCCAGCCACUCUUUCUCCCCCUUCCCGGGCUGGGAUGUGUGGGGGAGACCUGACUCUCUGAGAUGUGAGAAGGAUGUACUGUGGUUCACAUUCACAGUCCUGGAGCCAAGCUGCAAGGGGUGGGGGUGGGGGGCUCAUCUUGCCUGGAGAGGGGACCUGCUUGCCAGAGAUCACACCAUUGCACCAGAGGACUGGCCACCGGUUCCACUCAAGGCCCCAAACACCUGGGAACCCCUAAGAAGAGCCAGAUCCCAAACAUGUGCCAGGACAUCAUGGAACCUCGGCUGACACCAGCAUCAAUACACCCGCCUUCAGUGCUUUACGGAGUAACCUCGCUUGUUCACCUGACACUCGCCUUUGACCAGACCGUACCCCGGAUUCCUGGAGGAACACGUACCCUAGACCUUCCUCUGACAUAAACCCCCAGCCCCAAGCAACGAUGAGACUCUUUUUUCCUCUCCUCUCCAAGUCUCUCAAGAUGCGCCGUGUGCUAUUCUCCACCUGUCAUUUAACGCUCUUCAAUAAAUUCUGUUUUCACUUUCUCUGGCUCGUGUUU